GGUGAAGCAGGCCCUCGUGGUCCUACAGGUGCUGCUGGAGCUCGUGGUGCCCCUGGUGAGCGUGGUGAGACAGGUCCUCCUGGCCCUGCUGGCUUUGCUGGUCCUCCCGGUGCAGAUGGUCAAGCUGGUCCUAAGGGUGAACCUGGCGAGGCUGGACAAAAAGGUGAUGCUGGUGCUCCUGGUCCUCAAGGUCCAUCAGGUGCUCCCGGUCCACAGGGUCCAACAGGUGUUACUGGGCCGAAAGGCGCUCGUGGUGCCCAGGGUCCCCCUGUGAGUAUGGUUUU